UACGUAGGUGGCAAGCGUUGUCCGGAAUUAUUGGGCGUAAAGCGCGCGCAGGCGGUCUCUUAAGUCUGAUGUGAAAGCCCACGGCUCAACCGUGGAGGGUCAUUGGAAACUGGGGGACUUGAGUGCAGAAGAGGAAAGCGGAAUUCCACGUGUAGCGGUGAAAUGCGUAGAGAUGUGAGGAACACCAGUGGCGAAGGCGGCUUUCUGGUCUGUAACUGACGCUGAGGCGCGAAAGCGUGGGGAGCAAACAGG
rnacentral:rRNA from 1 species